CCCUUGUACACACCGCCCGUCACACCAUGGGGGUUGGUUUUACCCGAAGACGGUGCGCUAACCAGCAAUGGAGGCAGCCGGCCACGGUAGGUCGAGCGACGUGGGGUG
rnacentral:rRNA from 1 species